AAACACUAAUUUCCCGAAUUCACAAACCCUAACCCCUUACCCCCUUUCUCCCAAAACACAGACACACACACACACACACACAGAGGAGAGGAGAGCGUUUGAGGGAGCUGAGAGGAAGAGAGGGGACUACACCACAUCGUCGUCCAGCCACCGUCCAUCCCGCCAUCACCGCGUCUCACUGCUGUCGCUGUGGAGACCGAACGCCUUCGAGUUUCCUGCUGCCACCUUGGAGCCCGUCGUCAUCAAGAGCGUCAGGAGAAAGAGAGAGGGACGAACUCGCGAUGGAGAGGGAGGAGGUUGCGCCGCGCAGCCGUGGAGCCCGUCACACGUGUCACCACCGUCGGAAGCAGAACCACGAAGAGGAGAGGAAGAACGACGUUGGGAGGAAACUGUGAGCUGCAAGCCGCUGACCGAGAAGAAGCUCUGCCUUUGUCACCGUGUUGGAGUCGUCGCUGCCAACGCCGCGCACCGCCGUUAGCGCUGCCGUUGAAGGAAGUUCGCCGUCACAGUUCAAUCAUCAUUGAGCUUGAAGGGAGGCGCCACUGAAAUACCCGACAGCAGCUUCCCCUGCGUUCCCAAUUCCAUUCUUGAAACUGUAACACUCUUGCUCGUGCUCUGCUUCCCAAUUUUUAUUUCUCUACUAUAUUUUCAUUCUGAAUACAAUAGUGUAUGUUCCUGUUUUGUAUUGUUGUCUCCAUCGUCAAUCUGGAUCCUAGUCGACCCCGUCGUUCAUGCCCCUUUGCUGCACCUUUUUCUCUAGUGCUAUUAUUUGGAAUACCGGCGUUGAUGCUAUUAUGAAUCUGUUAGAAUUGCUAUUGGGCUUUGAUUGCUCUUAAUUUCCACCCAAUUUGAAUCCUUUGCUUGGUUACAACCCCGAUCACUGCUGUGAUGAUUAACAAUGCUGCUAUUCUGGUUAUUGCUUCUGCCGUUCCAGUUGCGUGAGAGUCACUGCUGUUGCCAUGAAACUAAAAGGGAAGGGAGUUGUUACGUUAAAGUAUGCGAUUGCGACAUCGAGUGACACAAGUUUGAAGAUGUGAUUUGAAGCUGCGAGCGAUUAGUAGGCUUCCUUUAUAGUUUUAAUUGCUUUCAUAGAGUCCCCUCGCUCUUUUCCUUUGAAGUUUUAUUUUAUCAGAGGGGUAGGUAUAUUGUAUUGGG